rnacentral:tRNA from 1 species
CGCGGGGCGGAGCAGUUGGCAGCUCGUCGGGCUCAUAACCCGAAGGCCGUAGGUUCAAGUCCUGCCUCCGCAACCA